rnacentral:rRNA from 1 species
GUACUCGAGUGGCGAACGGGUGAGUAACACGUGGGUGAUCUGCCCUGCACUUUGGGAUAAGCCUGGGAAACUGGGUCUAAUACCGGAUAUACCUCAUGGGCUGCAUGGUUUGUGAGGGAAAGCUUUUGCGGUGUGGGAUGGGCCCGCGGCCUAUCAGCUUGUUGGUGGGGUGAUGGCCUACCAAGGCGACGACGGGUAGCCGGCCUGAGAGGGUGACCGGCCACACUGGGACUGAGAUACGGCCCAGACUCCUACGGGAGGCAGCAGUGGGGAAUAUUGCACAAUGGGCGCAAGCCUGAUGCAGCGACGCCGCGUGAGGGAUGACGGCCUUCGGGUUGUAAACCUCUUUCAGCAGGGACGAAGCGCAAGUGACGGUACCUGUAGAAGAAGGACCGGCCAACUACGUGCCAGCAGCCGCGGUAAUACGUAGGGUCCGAGCGUUGUCCGGAAUUACUGGGCGUAAAGAGCUCGUAGGU